rnacentral:lncRNA from 1 species
GCUCUCCGCAGUGAUGUCAACGAAAUCUGCCGCAGCCCCCCAAACCCACCCGCACCCACCUCGGCUGCGCCCUGGGGCGAGGGGCAGGCCGCGUGCGGCUGCCUGGGAACCCCCUUCUCCGUGCGCCGUAGCGCGAGAGCCACGGCCCCUGGGGCAGAGGAGGAAGGGGAUGCGGACCGAGGAGGGGCGAUGGAGACAGGUGUCGACUUGACGCUCCGAGCUGCCCGGAGGACCCUGCCCGGGACCGAGGCCGCCAGAGCGGCGUGCAGGGGGCGGCUGGCGCGCGCCGAGCCCUGCGGAUGCGGCGCGUGGGGGCGCGCGCGGGCCAGGUGCCCCCUGCUCGCUGGAUGGAGGCUGAUAAACGGAAGCGCGUGCGAGGGGGUGCGAAUCGCCACCUCCGGCCUUGGCUUUCCCGCUCUUCCGAGCCCUUCCAGAUCGCACCCUAAGGCUAAAGUGAAGGGGCAUAGGAAUAUGUUCUUCAGAAAACGUAGGACAGGAUUGACUUGGUUUGCUGGCCAAGUACAGCGGGAAGGCCCCUGGGUUCUGGUACACCACCCACUGUGGUGGUGUGACCACCUGUUUCUCAAGGUAACUUCGACCAGCAUUUUGGAUAGACUCUACCAAAGGGAAAAUUGCUAAUCUUCUCCCCUGCCCCAGACAACCCAGAUGUUGUUUCAGAGAGGAGGGGAAGUUGGCCCUUUAUCAGAGGCAAAGCUAAAGCCUAAGUUAUUUUGUUACCUAAGGGGGAGGGGCUUCUGUGACCCAGCUGGGAACUUUAAUUGGAGAAAUUGACAUUUGGGGGAGAGGUGAGCCCUGCGCAGGUGUAUACCCACAUUUUCCCAUAGAGCCAUAGCCAUGGUGCAUAUUGACAGGAAGAUAACCGGACACGCGCGCACGCACAGACACACACACACAAAGCCCAUCCAUCCAGUCUCCACAGGGAAAUUUUCUCUUUCCCACUAUUGAACUUACAUAAUGCCCACCCCCCAUUCCAACCUUAGCACACAGUUUUUCCUCUGGAGGCAGCUGCAAAGCUUUUUCCCUGGGACAGAUGGAGCCUCCCUUCCUCACUGGCUCUGUGGGUGGCUUUGGUACCCCAUGAGUCAAUAUGGGCUGACUGAGGAGUUGGGUGUGUGUGAGUGUAUGUUGAGGCUUGGCCGGCUGAUUCACACCGAUGAGGAUGUCAAUAGCAAUGAGAAUGAUGAUAUCUAAUAAAGAUUUUUUUUCGCUUCUAAGUCCCAUCUACAAUUCUUUCGUUGGUUAUUUUGGCCAAGUCUUACUCAAUUUGAUUUUUUAAAAACACUUAAUACUUAAUGACAUUUCAAAGGUAGACCUAAAAAAAGAAGAAGGACCUCAGAUGGAUUUGGUGGUGGCAAUGCAAUGUGGCUUUGUGUGGCCCUGGCUUCUGGGGGAGGCCUUGAGAUCUUGAAGCACCAAAUUUAGGUAGCAGAUGGGAGUGGGGCAGCCGGUUUUACUGAGAGCAAAGAAUGUUCCAGGUCGGAAAGGAAGUGUGAGCAACUCUCAAUACCUUCACCUUUUCACUUUCUGAUUCUUCUUUUGUCUUGCAAUGUAAACGCUGCCCUGAAAUGAGGGCCUGGGCCACCAGCAGAAGCCCCCAAAUAAACCUCCGGGAAGCAUCCCAAAGGACUUUUGCUCUCAGAAUGAAAGUGGGGGUGCAGGUCAUUUUCAAUUCUAAUGCAAUCUGUUUGUUGCUUGAGCAUACAUAGCGCAAAAUACUGAGACCUAACAGGCAA